GAGGGUAUAGCUCAGUUGGCAGAGCACAUUCUUAGCAUGCACGAGGUCCUGGGUUCAAUCCCCAAUACCUCCU
rnacentral:tRNA from 1 species